CCUACGGGAGGCUGCAGUGAGGAAUAUUGGUCAAUGGGCGCGAGCCUGAACCAGCCAAGUCGCGUGAGGGAAGACGGUCCUAUGGAUUGUAAACCUCUUUUGUCGGGGAGCAAAAGACGCCACGCGUGGCGUUCCGAGAGUACCCGAAGAAAAAGCAUCGGCUAACUCCGGGCCAGCAGCCGCGGUAAUACGGAGGAUGCGAGCGUUAUCCGGGUUUAUUGGGUUUAAAGGGUGCGCAGGGGGAAGAUCAAGUCAGUGGUAAAAUUGAGGGGCUCAACCUCUUCGAGCCGUUGAAACUGGGUGUCUUGAGUGAGCGAGAAGUAUGCGGAAUGCGUGGUGUAGCGGUGAAAUGCAUAGAUAUCACGCAGAACUCCGAUUGCGAAGGCAGCAUACCGGCGUUCAACUGACGCUGAUGCACGAAAGUGUGGGUAUCGAACAGGAUUAGAUACCCCUGUAGUC
rnacentral:rRNA from 1 species